UACGUAGGGUGCAAGCGUUAAUCGGAAUUACUGGGCGUAAAGCGUGCGCAGGCGGCUUUGCAAGACAGAUGUGAAAUCCCCGGGCUUAACUUGGGAAUUGCGCUCGAAACUACUUUGCUGGAGUGUGGCAGAGGAAGGUGGAAUUCCACGUGUAGCGGUGAAAUGCGUAGAGAUGUGGAGGAACACCAAUGGCGAAGGCAGCCUUCUGGGCCAACACUGACGCUCAUGCACGAAAGCGUGGGGAGCAAACAGG
rnacentral:rRNA from 1 species